UACGUAGGGGGCUAGCGUUGUCCGGAAUCACUGGGCGUAAAGGGCGCGUAGGCGGCUUUUCAAGUCGGGCGUGAAAUCUCCGGGCUUAACCCGGAAGGGUCGUUCGAUACUGUUGAGCUAGAGUGUGGAAGAGGCAACUAGAAUUCCGUGUGUAGCGGUGAAAUGCGUAGAUAUACGGAGGAAUACCUGAGGCGAAGGCGGGUUGCUGGGCCAACACUGACGCUGAGGCGCGAAAGCCAGGGGAGCAAACGGG
rnacentral:rRNA from 1 species